rnacentral:rRNA from 1 species
UACGUAGGGUGCGAGCGUUAAUCGGAAUUACUGGGCGUAAAGCGUGCGCAGGCGGUUUUGCAAGCCAGAUGUGAAAUCCCCGGGCUCAACCUGGGAAUGGCAUUUGGGACUGCAAGGCUUGAGUGCGGCAGAGGAGACUGGAAUUCCUGGUGUAGCAGUGAAAUGCGUAGAUAUCAGGAGGAAUACCGAUGGCGAAGGCAGGUCUCUGGGCUGACACUGACGCUCAUGCACGAAAGCGUGGGGAGCAAACAGG